rnacentral:rRNA from 1 species
AGUGAACGCUGGCGGUAGGCCUAACACAUGCAAGUCGAACGGCAGCACAGUAAGAGCUUGCUCUUACGGGUGGCGAGUGGCGGACGGGUGAGGAAUACAUCGGAAUCUUCUUUUUCGUGGGGGAUAACGUAGGGACACUUACGCUAAUACCGCAUACGACCUACGGGUGAAAGCAGGGGAUCUUCGGACCUUGCGCGAUUGAAUGAGCCGAUGUCGGAUUAGCUAGUUGGCGGGGUAAAGGCCCACCAAGGCGACGAUCCGUAGCUGGUCUGAGAGGAUGAUCAGCCACACUGGAACUGAGACACGGUCCAGACUCCUACGGGAGGCAGCAGUGGGGAAUAUUGGACAAUGGGCGCAAGCCUGAUCCAGCCAUACCGCGUGGGUGAAGAAGGCCUUCGGGUUGUAAAGCCCUUUUGUUGGGAAAGAAAAGCAGCAGGUUAAUACCCCGCUGUUCUGACGGUACCCAAAGAAUAAGCACCGGCUAACUUCGUG